GUAAUCACUUGUCUUCUAAAUAAAGACUCGUAUGAACGGCUAAAUGAGGACAAACCUGUCUCCUAUGACUAAUCAGUGAAACUGAUCUUCCAGUACAAAAGCUGGAAUAUACCCAUAAGACGAGAAGACCCUGUGGAGCUUAUAAACCAAAUACUAACCACCCAAUCUAGUACAAGGUUUUAAGUUGGGGCGACUUUGGAACAAAACACAACUUCCAAGCACAGAGCUACCCCCUCUAUUCAAGGCCAACAAGCCUAAAAACUAAAAAUGACCCAGUCAUACUGAUCAACGAACCAAGUUACCCCAGGGAUAACAGCGCCAUCUUCUUCAAGAGUCCAUAUCGACAAGAAGGUUUACGACCUCGAUGUUGGAUCAGGACACCCAAAUGGUGCAGCCGCUAUUAAAGGUUCGUUUGUUCAACGAUUAACAGU
rnacentral:rRNA from 1 species